UACGUAGGGUGCAAGCGUUAAUCGGAAUGACUGGGCGUAAAGGGUGCGCAGGCGGUCUGUUAAGACAGAGGUGAAAUCCCCGGGCUUAACCUGGGAAUGGCCUAUGUGACUGGCAGGCUAGAGGAUGGCAGAGGGAGGCGGAAUUCCACGUGUAGCAGUGAAAUGCGCAGAUAUCAGGAAGAACACCCGUGGCUAAGGCGGCUCUCUAGUACGGUACUGACGCUGAGACGCGAAAGCGUGGGGAGCGAACAGG
rnacentral:rRNA from 1 species